rnacentral:rRNA from 1 species
UUCUAUAGCUAUACCACCCUGAAUGUAUCUGAUCUUGGAAGUUAAGCAGGGUUAGGCCUGGUUAACUUUUGGAAGGGAGACCUGAUGCUCAUAUGAC